UUUACAAAAUAUUUACCUAUUGUUUAUAUAUUAUGAACGAUUAACCUAUUUCUUUUCACUACCCUAUAGGUUGUUACUUUGGAGAUCAACUUUAAUUAUAUCCCCCGCAGGUAUAUAUAUACCAACUUUACUUUCAUUUUUUUCAAAGUGUGCUUGCGCCUUGAAUUUGUUGAUGCGCAUGCAUAUAACAUAUCUACCACUCAUGACGUCACCAUUUUAUAAUUAUUCAAAGUGUAAUAAUUAUUUUCAACUAAUUAACGAUAAAUAAAAAAAUAUUUAAUAAAAUAAAGUUGAGGAGCCGGACAAACAAAAAAAUGGCGCGUGGCAAUUUUAUGUGAUCGACGGAGCGUCGGUAACAGCGUGUGUCUCGUACGAAUAAGACGAUCGGUGUGGAUGAGAGAGUCGAUACAAGCGUGCGUCUCAGUGCGUGGUCGGUGGAAGAAGACGGAAGAAUGUUGUUUAUAUAACCUACCAAACGUUGCGCAUGUUAUAACGGGAAUAUGAUAUACCUAAUAAAUAGAAUUUAAAAUUAUAAUGUUUCGAUUUUAGCAUAUUUUUCAUUUUUAUGUAAUUAUUUUAACGGACCUGCGCAAUGAUGACCUCGAGAGUAAAAUUUACCAGUAAUAUAAGUAGAGUGCAUUAGUGCAUUAAGAUUAUUGUUAAUUAAUCGAUAGAAGUGUCUAUUGUUGUCCAAAAGCUCGGAGAAUAUUAUCUGUGUACCAUCCUCUUCGAAAUCUACCAUUGAACUGGGUCA
rnacentral:lncRNA from 1 species